rnacentral:rRNA from 1 species
GACGUAGGGCGCGAGCGUUGUCCGGAUUUAUUGGGAGUAAAGAGCUCGUAGGCGGCUUGUCGCGUCGUCCGUGAAAACCUGCGGCUCAACUGCAGGCUGGCGGUCGAUACGGGCAGGCUGGAGUUCGGUAGGGGAGACUGGAAUUCCUGGUGUAGCGGUGAAAUGCGCAGAUAUCAGGAGGAACACCGGUGGCGAAGGCGGGUCUCUGGGCCGAUACUGACGCUGAGGAGCGAAAAGCGUGGGGAGCGAACAGG